AGGGGAGGACAACUAUGUACUAGUAUUCUCGUCUGACGGUAGGUAAUCAUCAAGCACGACUGACUACGUAGCUGCAGCAGCUGUAAUAGGUAGUAGCUAGCUUCAUCAUGAAGUAUUGGGUAGUCAGAGCAGGGGGUGGUUGCUUUAUUUAUGUCUUAUGAUGAUAGACCGACCGCUUCAUCAGUCGGCGGGUCGUCGUCAUAUAGACGAAAUGGUGUGCCAGAUGAGGAGGGGAAGACUUCCUUGAGUAGCGGUGAAAUGCUCAGAGACGUGGAGGAACCACCAGUAGGUGACGACGUCUUUUUUGCUCUGCAACAGCCGAUGAUGUUCGAAAGCAGGGUGAUCAAACACCAUGAGAUACCAUGGUAGUCCACGCCGUAGAGCAUGAGUACUAAUAGUUAGGGAGGUUUCCUCUCCUUAGUGGUGCAGCUAAUGCAUCAUGCACUACGCCUGGGGAGUAGGACGGCAAGGUGGAAACUCAAAGGAAUAAACGACGACCCGCACAAGCGGUGGAGCAUCUGGUUUAAUUAGAAGCAACGAGAAGAACCUCACCAACUCUUGACAUCCUCUUACCCCUCUAGAGAUAGAGUUUUCCCCCCCGGGGGACAGAAUAACAGCUGGUGCAUGGUGGUCGUCAGCUCGUGUCGUGAGAUGUUGGGUGAAGUCCUGCAACAAGCACAACCCUUAAGAUUAGUAGCCAUCAUCAAGUUGGGCACUAUAAGUUGACGGCCGGCGACAAACCGGAGGAAGGUGGGGAGGACGUCAAAUCAUCAUGCCCCUCAUGAUUUGGGGUACACACCUGGUACAAUGGACAAUACAAAGGGUAGCAAAACCGCGAGGUCAAGCAAAUCCUACAAAGUUGUUGUCAGCUCGGAUGGUAGUAUUCAACUAGUCGAUAUGAAGCAGGAAUCGUUGGUAAUCGUAGAUCAGCAUGCUACGGUGAAUACGUUCCCGGGUGUUGUACACACCGCCCGUCACAACACCAGAGUUUGUAACACCAGAAGCCGGCGGAGGAACCA
rnacentral:rRNA from 1 species